CAGGGGUUAGUUUAUUAUAAAAUACCGGUUUUGGGGAUCGAGGUAAGGAAAAUUUUCCUACCCCUGA
rnacentral:tRNA from 1 species